AGGAAAUACUAUAAUUAACUCCAUUCUUUUAUAGUAUAGAAGCCAGUGAUCACAGAGACAAAUGUACGCUAUUCUCUUACAAAACUAUUCUUGAGUUUUAAGUAUUACAAUUCUCUUACCCUUCUCUUCAACUUACUGACUUGAACGUCAGAGUGGCUGCUGUAUAUGCCAAUUACCUCACUCUCUCUCUCUUGGAGGAUUGACCAAUCACAAUACAACUCUAUUUAGUGGACCAAUCGCAACUCAGCUCCAUUCUGGUCACAUCAUCACUUUUGUUUCAGCAACAUCAAAAAUUAUAAUUCUUAAUCUCAUACAAAUUGUCAAUAUAUCAUUUCUUUAACUUUAUUAGAAAUCUUUAAAGUAUAUGAUAUACAUAUUAUAUAUAUAU
rnacentral:lncRNA from 1 species